rnacentral:misc_RNA from 1 species
AGGCCGGAGUGCAUGAAAUUCCACUUCUUGCCCUUGCCGAGCGCGAACACGUCGCGGAACAGCUUCUUGGUCUUGGUGCGAUUCAGGAAGUGCUCCUGAUCCGGCGCGCGCUCGUAGGCGUAGCCGGGUGACAUCGAGACGCCGACGCCGAGUUCGACGGUGUAGUCGAGGAAUUUUGCAAUGUCCUCGGCAGCGUGGCCGUCGAAGAUCGUCGCAUUGACGUUGACGGUGAAGCCGCGC